rnacentral:rRNA from 1 species
CGCAUGGUGAAUAUAUAGCCAUGGCGUGGGGAACUCGGGGAACUGAAACAUCUAAGUACCCGGAGGAAAAGAGACAAUUCCGUAAGUAGUGGCGAGCGAAAGCGGAGAAGCCCAAACCAGGAUGGCUUCGGCUGUGCUGGGGUUGUAGGACAGACAGGAUGGUAAAGUGGAUAGUGGAACGGUAUUGGGAAAGCCGACCGAAGAGGGUGAAAGUCCCGUACACGAAAUCGACGUAGCCAGGUCUGUAUCCUGAGUAGUGCGGGGCACGCUAACCCUGCAUGAAACUGGGGGGCCCACCCUCCAAGGCUAAAUACACUUGACGACCGAAAGUGAACAAGUACCGUGAGGGAAAGGUGAAAAAGCACCCCAGCUAGGGGAGUGAAAUAGAACCUGAAACCGUGCACUUACAAGCAGUCAGAGCCUGAUGCCGCGAGGCCGGGUGAUGGCGUGCCUC